CUAUUUUUAACCUGGAUGGGUUCUGUGAUUUGUUUCGCACACAGCAUUCAAACUGGCACAGCUGAGGGAAGAGCGAGCGCUGGGAACAGGAGAAGGGAAAGCAGGGGCUGCUUAUGUUGGCACUGCUACUAAAAGAAGUACUCAUCAAACUGAAGCCUCAGUCUCUUCGCAUCUCACAUCUGUAAAGUGGAAAUGAUGAUAGCCUCACAUCACCUCUCUGAAAGGAUCAAACUGGUAGCUGCCGUAAAAGCCUGUGUAACUUGUCAGAGCAAUUCUCUACCCUGGCAAGUUACACAAGCCGCGGAGCUGCUCUCUGCCCCUGGGCGUCCUGCCUCCCUCUGCCUUCUGCCUGCAUGGGUGACUCCUCCUCUCCGUCCUUCUUCAAAGGCAUCAGCUAUACUCACUUUUAGGGAAAUUGGCAGAAUUCUCCUUAGCUGCACCGCGGGACAUGUGGCCAAUGUGCUCUGGAGCGGGCCAGUCUGCCUCUCAGGUCUCAAUGGGUUUCGUGAACGAUGGAGGGACCCUUUGCUUCAGUGGCUGCCUUUGCUGCAAGAGAUGGGCCACGGCUCUGAGGCCCAGAAGCCAAUACUCAUAACCUGCUGCAUUGGACACUAA
rnacentral:lncRNA from 1 species